GAUGAAGAACGCAGCGAAAUGCGAUAAGUAGUGUGAAUUGCAGAAUUCAGUGAAUCAUCGAAUCUUUGAACGCACAUUGCGCCCUUUGGUAUUCCUUAGGGCAUGCCUGUUCGAGCGUCAUUUCAACCCUCAAGCCCUGCUUGGUGUUGGGCGUUUGUCCUGCCUCCGCGCGGGACUCGCCUCAAAGACAUUGGCGGCCGGUUUCCCUUUGCAGGCCACGAGCGCAGCACAGCGAGCGCUCUACGUGGACGCGGGGUCGGCGCACCAGAAGCCCUCUUUCUCGAAUUUUGACCUCGGAUCAGGUAGGGAUACCCGCUGAACUUAAGCAUAUCAUAAGCGGAGGA
rnacentral:misc_RNA from 1 species